GCUGGCAGAGACUUCUCUGAUGAGAAAAUGAUAAGUGUUUUCAAAUGCUGUUCUGGUUAAAAGAAAGCUGAUCCAAGGACUCUACUGCAAAUCAUCUCUUUGGGGUGUUGACUGUCAAGAAAGGUAUUUUUCUGUGCCUUCCUUGCCCUGCCUCUCAGAUGACACCUGUUUCCUGGUGGCAUUUCUUCUAACUUGAGUUAGAUUCACAAUUUCUCAAGCUGCUGGAAGGAUCCUACGAUCAACUUUUCCUGGGGAGACAUGAACAAAUGCCUACUCACUCCAGAUUGGGCACCAUCAAGAAACCAAAUGAAUGACUGUACCCAAGUCUAGCUUAGUGAAGCAAUGCAUUUUUUUGCACUUGUUCCCAGGAAUAUGGAUCUUCGAUGUGAUAAGAAACACCUAAACUCAAAGUAAUUUGAAAGAAUAAACAACUUCAGUUAAAGAAGGUCCCCAAAGAAGUGUAAAGUACAAGUGUAAAACAUGUAGAGUUAGUGAGCACCUUGCAGACACACAGGAUGUACUUCUCCAAGAUGGUGCAAUGGAGCAGAAACAGCUCAUGUCCCUAAUAAGAAGCCACGAGGGACCUCAUUGCUUAUUGAAGAGUCUUGCAGCAUACUUUGUUCGUUGGUCUUUUCUUAAUGGUUGGCUAUUUCUCCUCCAAUUCAAGAACAUUAAAAUCUAACAGAACAAAGACCGUGACCACCCCAGACACACAUCCCACAACUCCAAGCUAUGUGUGUCCAGAAGAGAAACAAAACAAAAUUUAUGGCUUUUGCUCUAGUAAUUCCUGGUGAGUCAUAUCCAUAUAUUUCAACACCAGGACACUUCUUCAUUUUCCAGGUGACUCUUUAAAGCUGUUACUACAGAUCUUGAGAUAUCAUUCAUGAUUACCUUAAACCCCUAAGACCCAUUCAUUAACCCAAUGGUAUCAAAUAUUUCAAAUCCAAUCGGGUUCCUCCCUCCUACAAGUUGAUGAAAAUGAAAACACACAGAGUCACCUUAAUAAAAUGAAGAACUGAGUCAACAGAAUUGUUGCAGCAGGUGUGUGUUCUAACUGCACUGCCUGUGCUAUUGAGGUGACUCCAUGAGACAUUCUUCACUAUCCAUGAUAAAGAAUGGCUUUUCUGCAGGGAAUCUAUUAAUUUUUUUCUGUCACUUCCUCCCCUCCACUCCAAGCCACCCACUGAUCUAAGUCAUUCUUGAACACGAUUAUGAGUGUUUUCAUACAUAUGUGAUGCAUUGAGUAACUGAAUGGAUCCCAUCUGGGAGAUAUAUAAAGUGGACACUGAAGUGACUCAUCAGGCAGCUGCAGAGAAUACACAGAUGAGAAUGGCAGGGAACUCCACCAUGAAGAUGCUGAGCAUCAUCCACACCAUUUCCAGAAGAUGGAAAAAGCCACAUGACUGUGGAACACCACAAAAUUGAGGAAGAGUUUGAAGCUCACGGCUGCCAGAGUGAAACCUUGGGCUCUGGUAUUAGCUGCCUUGUACAUGGCUGAUUGGAACACAAAGGAAAAUAAUCUUGG
rnacentral:lncRNA from 1 species